GUAAGAAGUAUAAAAAAAAAAUUCUUUCUAUAUACAUUCGAACCACUGUUGGUCAUAUUUAUCUUUAUCGAGAAAUCGAAGAAGCUAUACAAGGGUUUUGCCAAGCCUGCUCAGACGGUACCUAAUCUAAUCAUAGGGAUCUAAGCUAAGUGAUUUUAUGACAUUGGUCUGAAUUCAGAUCUCUUUGGUGCACUAGGACUAUAGUUCCUGAAUUUCUACGCGAAUCAAGAUUGAGAAAAGGAAGUUUUCCAAGCAUUAACUCAAAUCUAUUGCCGAGCCCUAUUCAUCGGAAUAUGGAGGUAUUUAUGGCCGAACGGGCCAAUCUCUUCUUUCACAAUAAAGUGAUAGAUGGAACUGCCAUUAAACGAAUUAUUAGUCGAUUCAUAGAUCACUUCGGAAUGGCAUAUACAUCACACAUCCUGGAUCAAGUAAAGACUCUGGGUUUCCAUCAAGCCACUGCUACAUCUAUUUCAUUAGGAAUUGAUGAUCUUUUACAAUACCUUCGAAAGGAUGGCUAGUCCAAGAUGCUGAACAACAAAGUUUGAUUUUGGAAAACACCAUCAUUAUGGAAAUGUACACGCGAUAGAAAAAUUACGUCAAUCCAUUGAGAUAUGGUAUGCUACAAGUGAAUAUUUGCGACAAGAAAUGAAUCCGAAUUUUAGGAUGACGGAACCCUUUAAUCCAGUCCAUAUAAUGUCCUUUUCGGGAGCUAGGGGAAUGCAUCUCAAGUACACCAAUUAGUAGGUAUGAGAGGAUUAAUGUCGGAUCCACAGGACAAAUGAUUGAUUUACCCAUUCAAAGCAAUCUACGGGAAGGAUUGUCUUUAACAGAAUAUAUCAUUUCUUGCUAUGGAGCCCGAAAAGGAGUUGUGGAUACUGCUGUACGAACAUCAGAUGCUGGAUAUCUUACGCGCAGACUUGUUGAAGUAGUUCAACACAUUGUUGUACGUAGAACAGACUGUGGCACCACCCGAGGGAUUUCUGUGAGUUCUCGAAAUGGAAUGAUACCGGAAAGAAUUUUAUUCAAACAUUAAUAGGUCGUGUAUUAGCAGACAAUAUAUAUAUGGGUCUACGAUGCAUUGCCACUCGAAAUCAAGAUAUUGGGAUUGGACUUGUCAAUCGAUUCAUCACCUUUCGAACACAACCAAUAUCUAUUCGAACUCCUUUUACUUGUAGAAGUACGUCCUGGAUCUGUCGAUUAUGUUAUGGUCGAAGUCCUACUCAUGGCGACCUGGUGGAAUUGGGAGAAGCUGUAGGUAUUAUUGCGGGUCAAUCCAUUGGAGAGCCGGGUACUCAACUAACAUUAAGAACGUUUCAUACCGGCGGAGUAUUCACAGGGGGUACUGCCGAACAUGUACGAGCCCCCUCUAAUGGAAAAAUCAAAUUUAAUAAGGGUUUGGUUCAUCCCACACGUACACGUCAUGGGCAUCCUGCUUUUCUCUGUUCUAUGGACUUAUAUGUAACUAUUGAGAGUCAAGAUAUUAUACACAACGUGACUAUUCCACCAAAAAGUUUUCUUUUAGUUCAAAAUGAUCAAUAUGUAGAAUCAGAACAAGUGAUUGCUGAAAUUCGCUCGGGAACAUACACUUUGAAUUUACAGAGAGGGUUCGAAAACAUAUUUAUUCCGAUUCAGAAGGAGAAAUGCACUGGAGUACUGAUGUAUACCAUGCAUCUGAAUUUACAUAUAGUAAUGUCCAUCUUUACCAAAAACAAGCCAUUUAUGGAUAUUGUCAGGGGGUUCGUGCAGAUCCAGUAUAGUCCCGUUUUCACUACACAAGGAUCAAGAUCAAAUAAACGUUCAUUCUCUUUCUGUCGAAAGAGGAUAUAUUUCUAACCCUUCAGUAAAUAAUGAUAAAGUUAAACACAAAUUCUUUAGUUCAUAUCUUUCGAGUAAAAGUAAAAAAAAAGUAGGAUUCUUGAUUAUUCAGACCUUAAUCGAAUGAUAUGUACUGGUUUCAUAUAUCCUACUAUUCUCCACGAGAAUUCUGAUUUAUUGGCAAAGAGGCGAAAAAAUAGAUUUAUCAUCCCAUUCCAAUCGAUUCAAGAAAAAGAACUAAUGUCCCAUUCCGAUAUCUUGAUUGAAUACCUAUAAAUGGCAUUUUCCGUAGAAAUAGUAUUUUUGCUUAUUUUGACGAUCCCCAAUACCGAAGAAAGAGUUCAGGAAUUACUAAAUAUGUGGCUAUAGGGGUGCAUUCAAUUGUCAAAAAAGAGGAUUUAGUUGAGUAUCGAGGAGUCAAAGAAUUUCAGCCAAAAUACCAAAUGAAAGUAGAUCGCUUUUUUUUCAUUCCCGAGGAAGUGUAUAUUUUACCCGAAUCUUCUUCCCUAAUGGUACGGAACAAUAGUAUCAUUGGAGUCGAUACACAAAUCACUUUAAAUACAAAAAGUCGAGUAGGGGGGUUGAUCCGAAUAGAGAGAAAAAAAAAAAAAAUGGAACUUAAAAUCUUUUCUGGAGAUAUCCAUUUUCCGAGGGCGACAGAUAAGAUAUCCCGAUACAGUGGUAUCUUGAUACCACCAGGAACAGUAAAAACAAAUUCUAAGGAGUCGAAAAAGGUGAAAAAUUGGAUCUAUGUCCAACGGAUCACACCUACCAAGAAAAGUCUUUUGUUUUGGUUCGACCAGUACUCAUAUAUGAAAGAGGGGACGGUAUAAAUUUAGAAAGACUUUUUCCGCCGGAUUUAUUGCAGGAAAAAGAGAAUCUGAAACUUCGAAUUGUCAAUUAUAUUCUUUAUGGAAAUGUAAACCAAUUCAGGGAAUUUCUAACACAAGUAUUCAAUUAGUUCGUACUUGUUUAGUGUUGAAUUGGAACCAAGACAAAAAAAGUUCUUCUAUCGAAGAGGCUCGUGUUUAUUUUGUUGAAGUAGUAUAAAUGGUCUGAUUCGUGAUUUCCUAAGAAUCCACUUAGGGAAAUCACGCAUUUCCUAUAUCAGCAGAAAAAGGAACGAUCCAUCAGGUUUGGGAUUGAUCUCUGAUAAUGGGCCAGAUCGCACCAAUAUUAAUCCGUUUUAUUCCAUUAUUCCAAGACAAGGAUUCCACAAUCACUUAAACAAAAUCAAGGAACUAUUAGUAUUAGUACGUUGUUGAAUAGAAAUAUGGAAUGUCAAUCUUUGAUAAUUUUGUCAUCAUCUAAUUGUUUUCGAAUGGAUCCAUCCAACGGUGUAAAAUCUUAUAAUGUAAUAAAAGAAUCAACUAAAAGAGAUCCUAUAAUUCCAAUUAGGAAUUUGUUGGGCCCUUUAGGAACAGCCCUUCAAAUUGCGAAUUUUUAUUCAUUUUACCAUUUACUAACUCAUAAUCAGAUCUCGGUAAUUAAAUAUUGAAACUUGACAAUUUAAAAUUAAAACAGACUUCAAAAGUACUAAAAUAUUAUUUAAUGGAUGAGAACGGUAGAAUUGUUAAUCACGAUCCGUACAGUAACAACGUUUGAAUCCAUUCAAUUGAAUUGGUAUUUUCUCCAUCAUAAUUAUCAUCAUAAUUAUUGUGAAGAAACAUUCACAAUAAUUAACCUGGGACAGUUUAUUUGUGAAAAUGUAUGUAUGACAAAAAACGGACCACGCCUAAAAUCAGGUCAAGUUCUAAUUGUUCACGCCGACUCUGUAAUACUAAGAUUGGCUAAGCCCUAUUUGGCCACUCCAGGAGCAACUGUUCAUGGCCAUUAUGGGAAAUCCUUUAUGAAGGAGAUACAUUAGUUACAUUUAUAUAUGAAAAAUCGAGAUCUGGUGAUAUAACGCAGGGUCUUCCAAAAGUGGAACAGGUGUUAGAAGUGCGCUCAAUUGAUUCAAUAUCGAUAAACCUAGAAAAGAGAGUGGAGAAUUGGAACGAGUGUAUAACAAGAAUUGUUGGAAUUCCUUGGGGAUUCUUGAUUGGUGCUGAGCUAACUAUAGUGCAAAGUCGUAUUUCCUUGGUUAAUAAGAUCCAAAGGUUUAUCGAUCCCAGGGGGUACAGAUCCAUAAUAGGCAUAUAGAAAUUAUUGUACGCCAAAUAACAUCAAAAGUCCUGGUUUCAGAAGAUGGAAUGUCUAAUGUUUUUCACCCGGAGAACUAAUUGGAUUGUUGCGGGCGGAACGAGCGAUGCGCGCUUGGAAGAAGCGAUCUGUUACCGAACCGUAUUCUUGGGAAUACGAGAGCAUCUCUGAGUACUCAAAGUUUCAUAUCCGAAGCGAGUUUUCAGAAACUGCUCGCGUUUUAGCAAAAGCUGCUCUCCGCGGUCGUAUCGAUUGGCUGAAAGGCCUGAAAGAAAACGUCGUUCUAGGUGGUAUGAUACCCGUUGGUACCGGAUUCAAAGGAUUAGCGCACCGCUCAAGCCACAUAAGAUCAUUCCUUUCAAAACCAAAAAGAAGAAUUUAUUCGAGGGGGAAAUGAGAGAUAUUUUGUUCACCACAGAGAGUUAUUUGAUUCUUGCAUUUCAAAAAUUUCUAUAAUAUAUCAGAACAAUCAUUUAUAGGAUUUAACGAUUCCUAAGAGUGGAUUCGUCCUUUUAACUGUCGGUGGUCCCGUGAUUUCUUACAUUUACAUGUGAUUUGUUAAUAUUUGUUAUUUGUUAAUAGUAAUAAAUAAAAGUAAUAAAUAAAGAUAAUAUAUAGUAAGAAAUAAAGAUAAUAUAAAGAUAAUAAGGAAUAGAAAGAAAUUAAUCGCUUGGAUCGUGUAUCAACGUCCAAUUACGGGAAAAGAAAAGGUUCCAUCGGAACAAUUAUUUAUUUCAGGUAUCUCGUUCUUUUUUUUUUCAAAGAAAAAAAAAAGAGAGGAAGUGUGGAGAGAAAUGAUAAGAAGAUAUUGGAACAUUAAUUUGAAAGAGAUGUUGGAAACAGGAGUUCAUUUUGGUCAUGCUACUAGAAAAUGGAAUCCGAAAAUGGCACCUUAUAUCUCUGCAAAGCGUAAGGGUAUUCAUAUUACAAAUCUUACUAGAACUGCUCGUUUUUAUCAGAAGCGUGUGAUUUGGUUUUUGAUGCAGCAAGUAGGAGAAAACAAUUCUUAAUUGUUGGUACCAAAAAUAAAGCAGCUGAUCCAGUAGCGCGGGCUGCAAUAAGAGCUCGGUGUCAUUAUGUUAAUAAAAAAUGGCUAGGCGGCCUUUUAACGAAUUGGUCCACUACAGAAAUGAGACUUCAAAAGUUCAGGGACUUGAGAAUGGAACAAAAGACAGGGGGAAUCCACCGCCUUCCGAAAGGGAUGCGGCUCGAUUAAGAGACAGUUAUUUCACUUGCAAACAUAUUUGGGCGGGAUUAAAUAUAUGACAGGGUUACCCGAUAUUGUAAUAAUCGUUGAUCAGCAAGAAGAAUAUAUGGCUCUUCAAGAAUGUAUCACUUUGGGAAUUCCAACAAUUUGUUUAAUUGAUACAAACUGUGACCCGGAUCUCACAGAUAUUUCGAUUCCAGCGAAUGAUGACGCUAUAGCUUCAAUCCGAUUAAUUCUUAACAAAUUAGUAUUUGCGAUUUGUGAAGGGCGUUCUAGCUAUAUACGAAAUCCCUGAUUAAUAAUAAGAUAAAUAAAUUCUUUUUUGAAUUCCAUAGAUUGACGGAAUCCGUUACUAUUUAUGAAUCUCAUAAAAGAGAUAAAAAACUGGGGAUAUUAUGUGAUUAGUUGGUAUCUAAAAUAUACAAUUCAAGUGAGCAAGUCGAAAAAAAGACGGUUGAAUCAAAAUAAUUUCUUGUAAAGUUUUCUUUCUUUCAGAGGACAAUAUGAAUGUUCUAUCAUAUUCCAUUAACACAUUAAAAGGGUUAUAUGAAAUAUCUGGUGUGGAAGUAGGCCAGCAUUUCUAUUGAAAAUAGGCGGUUUCCAAGUCCAUGCCCAAGUACUUAUUACUUCUUGGGUUGUAAUUGUUAUCUUAUUAGGUUCAGCCAUUGUAACUGUUCGGAAUCACAAACCAUUCCUACUGACGGUCAGAAUUUCUUCGAAUAUAUCCUUGAAUUUAUUCGAGAUGUGAGCAAAACCCAGAUUGGAGAGGAAUAUGGUCCAUGGGUUCCCUUUAUUGGAACUUUGUUUCUAUUUAUUUUUGUUUCUAAUUGGUCAGGGGCGCUUUUACCUUGGAAAAUCAUAGAGUUACCUCAUGGGGAGUUAGCCGCACCCACGAAUGAUAUAAAUACUACCGUUGCUUUAGCUUUACUUACGUCAAUAGCAUAUUUUAUGCGGGCCUUAGCAAAAAAGGAUUAGGUUAUUUCGGUAAAUACAUACAACCAACUCCAAUCCUUUUACCCAUUAACAUUUUAGAAGAUUUCACAAAACCUUUAUCACUUAGCUUUCGACUUUUGGAAUAUAUUAGCGGAUGAAUUAGUAGUUGUUGUUCUUGUUUCUUUAGUACCUUCAGUGGUUCCUAUACCUGUCAUGUUCCUUGGAUUAUUUACAAGUGGUAUUCAAGCUCUUAUUUUUGCACUUUAGCUGCGGCUUAUAUAGGUGAAUCCAUGGAGGGACACCAUUGACUAAGUUUCGAAAUAGUCUUUUUUAGCUUAGUGCAAGGUAAUCUAUGCCUUGCUCGAGAUAAUCUUCUUCGUGAACAUAAAUAUACACAUAAAUAGACAAAAAAGUCUAUAAGAUCUAGAAGAAUAGUAAAAAAGAUUACGAUAUUAGGGAAUUGUAAAAAAAAAAUUAGGUUCUAUAGAGCGAUUCCCAUUUCAGUCGGUUUUAUUCAAUUCAAAGAUUGACCAAAAGAAAAUAUUAAUAAAGAAUAAAUUACAUGAACUUAGAUCAACCAAAGACUUAUAUUUCUAUGCAAUGAUUUAGACUAAGAAAUUCGCCCAUUUAGAUUGAUUGUAUCCAUGUGGGAUAAUGCUAAAUUCUAAAUUAAAUAAAAGGAAGAUAGGGGUUACAAAAAAUGAGAUUCAAGAGAAAAUGGUUUCGUUAGAAGAGUGGGAUCAAACUAGGUAUAUGUAAUAUAUAUAAUCGCUAUAAGCCACUUUCCUUUAUAGAUGUUUCGAAAAAUGUUUUAAAAUACGACUGAAUCCAAGAUACAAAUAGUUGGUUUACGUUAUGGAAUAAAGACAUGUAUAUGUAAUAGUAGGCUAGUUAUAUAUGAGCUAAAAGAUAUAUCUAAUCCGCCCUCCUAUUACUGAGAAUUGGGGUAGGGAUCCAAUAAAAGUCCUUCUGUUUCAUUUGUAACUGUGAAUUCAAUUCAAUAUUGAAUAAAGAAAUUCAAUCAAGAAAAAGAACGAAGAGUUCGAAUUCAAAGAAUGGUUCGGAACAAAGAAAGAAAUGGAAAAACAAAAAGUUGUAUGAAUUCUAUGAAUUCACAAAAACUCUGUGGAUAGGAACUAUAAAAUAGAUAUCGAAGUAGUUCUGAUGAUUCAAUAAUAUUACUACUUCAAUUGGGAGCUCUUAGUUGCGUUACUUUGACUAGAUGAAAUCUUAUCGAUGGAAUAAUUAAGUCAUAAUUUAUUGGUUGAUUGUAUCAUUAACCAUUUCUUUUUUUUGGUGCGAGGAACUUAUCAUGAAUCCAUUGAUUUCUGCCGCUUCCGUUAUUGCUGCUGGGUUGGCCGUUGGGCUUGCUUCUAUUGGACCUGGGGUUGGUCAAGGUACUG
rnacentral:lncRNA from 1 species